rnacentral:rRNA from 1 species
UCCUACGGGAGGCAGCAGUGGGGAAUAUUGCACAAUGGGCGCAAGCCUGAUGCAGCCAUGCCGCGUGUAUGAAGAAGGCCUUCGGGUUGUAAAGUACUUUCAGCUGGGGAGGAAGGCGAUGAAGUUAAUAACUUCUGUCGAUGACGUACCCGC